rnacentral:lncRNA from 1 species
UCAUUACAUCAAGCUAGUAAGAUGACCAAACAGAAUUUAAAGCACAUUGAAGUUAGUUACCUAUGCUACAACAGACACUAAAUUUAGGCUAGUUAUGUUUCUUUCAAUAUGCUUCUCCAAAGAGUUCUCCCUUGAAGCCUUUGGUUGAUCACUGCUCCUACUUGUUCUUUGUAACCGCAACCUUGCACAAUAGUAAAACAAAUCAUAUUUGGCUUAUAAAGAUAUGCCAAUCUCAAUCCAGAGCAUAUGAAGCCUAAAGUUACCAACAGAUACAAUAUGAUUAAUUGCUUGCAAGAAAGAGAACAGUACGCCAUCAUCAAAGCCUAAAGCUGCUAGUGGCCAUUGAUUCCACUUGUUCUCUCUUAUAGUGGUCAUUUGAGAAGCUCAAUCAAUGCAGGGGUGGCCACAAACUAAAUUAGGGCUUUAAAGGCCACGAAAUAAAAGAGCUUAAAAGAAAGAGAUGAUGACCUUCAAUCCAUUACCAAGGACUACAAAAGGGUCAAUUUUUAUAUCUGACAUAACCACAUAGAUUGACCCAACUUGUUUUUUAUUACUAUAAAAAGGCACACCCUUCUGUAUAUUGAACUAUUCAAAGUAAACCCAUAUGCUUUGCUCUGUCUUAAUGCAGAUGUUAACCAAUUUUCUAGUGUAUCAGGCAAAAGGAUGCAGCUCAUAUAUGCUAUGUCACUAUGUGUAAUCGAUAACAAAAAGACCAAAGUGUUCUGCUAUAAUGAAUUAUCCUAACAAAAUUGCUUUGGGAAUAAAGGUAAACCAUCAAAAUCUAUCAAACCGAAGCUAAACUAUAUAUAUCCAUGGACCUAUUUAGCCAGCCAUAAUAUAAUCAACAUCAGGAGUCUCAAUCUGCAGGAGUACAUUAUCUAUAAGCAGUAAAAUGAACACGUGACUAGCAAAUUUAAGUAUUACCUUCAAGAAUCAACAUGAGGAUUCUGAAGCAAAUAUGCAGCAUUGAGUAGCCUCCUCAUUCGAAAUAUCAAUUGCGCACAACUCCCGGAUCUCCUUCAGCCUUCAUCUGCUCCUUGUGAAACCUGCACACAAAUCCCCACUCAAGCAUUAACACAAACACCUUCUGGGCACUAAUCUUUUUCGAAACUCACCUCAUACUCAUCACUGAUCUUCUUAAACGUCGCCUUCCCUGAAUCAAGCAGCUCCGAAAUCUACGAAAAACCUCCACCUUCAUGCGUAUUCUGUUCGAUUUGAAAGUGAAUCCAUAAUAACACAGUGCCCAAUACAAAUCACCAAGACUAAAACUUCGAAAACUCACCGAAAGCAAAAGGAGUAAUGAGACAAACCCUCUUCUUCUUGGGUGGUCUGGCCUCGAUAUCUUAGUCGAUUCGGCGGGGGUCGCCGGCUGAGUGGACUCGCUGGCCGAGUUUGAAGUAUAUAUGGGGUUGAUCCCGGUGAGGGUUGCAUUUUCUGAAAGAUGAUCGGUUGUUUGAGAUGUGAAUGGAGAAAACUAAGCGGGACUGUAUCUUUGUUCUGGGCUGGAGUGAUUUGGGUGAAGAAGACGAGGGUGAAGAAUGAAGGAUAAAGAGGGAGAUAAAUGACGAGUAGACGAGGUAUUCCAGAUUUAAGUUGUUUUGUUUUCGGUGGGAUCUUUAUUAAUUUUCUUUCGUUACAAAAAGUGUGGGAAGUUUAAGUGUGGGUAAAAAAAUUGAGCGGGAGCCGAAAAAGAAAAUUUGAGUUUGUGGUGUAGUCAGCUUACAUCAAUUACGGCGUGUAACUAUUGCAUACAAUAAAUAUCUUAUACUUAUUAACAGCGUGCCGUAAAUAACUCAAGACACAAUCUCAUUUACGGUGCACUUCCGAAGCACGUCGUAAAUAACUCUACAUAAUAUUAUAUUUACGGCAUGUUAUAAAUGCACGCUGUAAAUGACCCAUUUUUACAGCACGCAUUGAUGCACGCCGUAAAUUUUAGACGGUAAAAAUCCUAAAUUCUUAUA